AGUGGCGGACGGGUGAGUAACGCGUGAGUAACCUACCUCGCAGUGGGGAAUAACAGCUGGAAACGGUUGCUAAUACCGCAUAAUGCAGAGAGACCGCAUGAUCUUUCUGCCAAAGAUUUAUCGCUGUGAGAUGGACUCGCGUCUGAUUAGCUAGUUGGUGGGGUAACGGCCUACCAAGGCGACGAUCAGUAGCCGGACUGAGAGGUUGACCGGCCACAUUGGGACUGAGACACGGCCCAGACUCCUACGGGAGGCAGCAGUGGGGAAUAUUGGGCAAUGGGCGCAAGCCUGACCCAGCAACGCCGCGUGAAGGAAGAAGGCUUUCGGGUUGUAAACUUCUUUUAACAGGGACGAUAAUGACGGUACCUGUUGAAUAAACUCCGGCUAACUACGUGCCAGCAGCCGCGGUAAUACGUAGGGAGCAAGCGUUAUCCGGAUUUACUGGGUGUAAAGGGCGUGUAGGCGGGACUACAAGUCAGAUGUGAAAAUUAUGGGCUCAACCCAUAACCUGCAUUUGAAACUGUGGUUCUUGAGUGCUGGAGAGGCAAAUGGAACUCCUAGUGUAGCGGUGAAAUGCGUAGAUAUUAGGAAGAACACCAGUGGCGAAGGCGAUUUGCUGGACAGUAACUGACGCUGAGGCGCGAAAGUGUGGGGAGCAAACAGGAUUAGAUACCCUGGUAGUCCACACCGUAAACGAUGGAUACUAGGUGUGGGGGGUCUGACCCCCUCCGUGCCGGAGUUAACACAUUAAGUAUCCCACCUGGGGAGUACGAUCGCAAGGUUGAA
rnacentral:rRNA from 1 species